GAUGAACGCUGGCGGCGUGCCUAAUACAUGCAAGUCGAGCGAAUGGAUUAAGAGCUUGCUCUUAUGAAGUUAGCGGCGGACGGGUGAGUAACACGUGGGUAACCUGCCCAUAAGACUGGGAUAACUCCGGGAAACCGGGGCUAAUACCGGAUAACAUUUUGAACCGCAUGGUUCGAAAUUGAAAGGCGGCUUCGGCUGUCACUUAUGGAUGGACCCGCGUCGCAUUAGCUAGUUGGUGAGGUAACGGCUCACCAAGGCAACGAUGCGUAGCCGACCUGAGAGGGUGCUCGGCCGCACUGGGACUGAGACACGGCCCAGACUCCUACGGGAGGCAGCAGUAGGGGAUCUUCCGCAAUGGACGAAAGUCUGACGGAGCAACGCCGCGUGAGUGAUGAAGGCUUUCGGGUCGUAAAACUCUGUUGUUAGGGAAGAACAAGUGCUAGUUGAAUAAGCUGGCACCUUGACGGUACCUAACCAGAAAGCCACGGCUAACUACGUGCCAGCCGCCGCGGUAA
rnacentral:rRNA from 1 species